GUGAGGGGGUGACUAGUGACAGAGUGAGGGAAGGAAGGGUUGACUAGUGACAGAGUGAGGGAGGGGGUGACACAGUGACAGAGUGAAGGAGGUGGUGACUGUCACAAGUCACCCCAUCCCUCCCUCUGUCACUAAUCACCACCUCCCUCACUCUGUCACUAGUCACCCCUUCCCUCCCUCACUCUGUCACUAGUCACACCCUCCCUCUCUCUGUCACUAGUCACACCCUCCCUCAC